rnacentral:rRNA from 1 species
UUUUGUGAGAGUUUGAUCCUGGCUCAGGAUGAACGCUGGCGGCGUGCUUAACACAUGCAAGUCGAACGGAGAACAUACGUCCGAAAUGAGCAUAGCUUGCUAUAGGAAUUUCAUUGUAUGUUGUUAGUGGCGGACGAGUGAGUAACGCGUGAGCAACCUACCUUUCAGAGGGGAAUAACGAUUGGAAACAGUCGCUAAUACCGCAUAACGUAUAAAAGUCGCAUGGCUUAAAUACCAAAGAUUUAUCGCUGAGAGAUGGGCUCGCGUCCGAUUAGAUAGUUGGUGAGGUAACGGCCCACCAAGUCGACGAUCGGUAGCCGGACUGAGAGGUUGAACGGCCACAUUGGGACUGAGACACGGCCCAGACUCCUACGGGAGGCAGCAGUGGGGGAUAUUGCACAAUGGGCGAAAGCCUGAUGCAGCGACGCCGCGUGA